rnacentral:tRNA from 1 species
AUAUUUUAGUAUAAAUUUAUUACUUUAGACUGUAAAUCUAAUAAUGGUAUGACCAAUAAUCA